UUUGAAUGUGACAAGACAAAUGGGCUAGGUAUAUUAAAAUAAGGGAAAAGUUUGUGCAAAAACUCAAUGAAUGUUUAGUAAACCAUGCCUAGGUAUAAAAAGAGAAUGUUGGGCUUUCUGAUUAUGCUAUAUCAAGCCAAAAGUUUACUGGCUAAAAUCUGGUGGCCCUCAAAACCAGAGCAAAUAUUCAUAUAAAAGACGCAGUGGACAUCAGUCUCAAGAGCUUCCUACUUAAAAUAUCUGCUUCCAAAGACUACAUGAUUCAUAGUAAUUCUCAGGAGUAUUAUAUUUCAAUUUCAAUUUUUAGCUUUCUAUAUACUUACCACACCAUCUCAAGGCCAGAUCAAUAUUUUCUUGAACUUUUUCAUAUAUUAAUCUAUACACUAUCUCAGAUAUGUUUGUUUCUAGAUUGUCAGGGAUCUUUCCUAGAGAAUUCUGAGAUGUGUGAGAGGUUUAACAAGCAUAGAAAAUUGCUUAUUAAAAAUAAGCCAUAUUGUAAGUGGGAGGUAAAAGGAGAAAAGAAGCAAAAGUCCUCAUCUAAACUUUAUGUGCUGAUACUGAACAAGGUUAUUCCAAUGAUGUCUGGUUUGGGGUAGGAAAGCAACUUUUCUUAUACAUUAUGACACAAAGUUCAUCAAAUAUGGUUGUUACAGACUUUUGGAGAACACGUAAAUUUUUCUUAUUAAUUUCUACAUUGAAAAACUAUUGUUACCUUUAAACAAAACUAUCCAUUACAAUAAAUCUGAAAUAGUUUUUUAAUAUUGCAAAACAGAAAAUUGAUGGCAUUAUUCACCGAAUGCUAACAUUUUCCAAUAACACCUCACACCACAAUAUAUGUACCUUAUAUAGUUUAACACCUAUAAGAGUUCUUAACACAAUGGAUAGAUAAUUAAAGUAAAGAGUGAAAUGGGACUCAGAAACAACUUAUUAUAGUAAAAAUUAUUAUUACAUUAUUUCAAAUACUAGUCCACCCUUUUCCUUUUUUUCCCAAAAGUUAAUUUUUUAACCUUUGUUAUGAUAUUUCACUUUAUUUAAAUAACAUAAUAAAUAGUACUGUGUUUUCAUAUAUACUCUCUGAUGCAUCUCAAAUAUAUUUGCAUACCCCAAGACCUUAGGAGAUUUGUAUACACAUUAUUCACUAGAGAAGCAGUAGUUACUUCUGAAAUCUAUAUUGCUCUUUUCAAAUGAGGUCUUACAGUUUUUUAAAAAUAUCUGAAAUAAUUAUAGUGAACUUAUUUCUAAUUAGCAUAUAGUAAGUGCCUGAUAAAUAUUUGUGAAAAUGAAUGAAGAAAUAAUAAGAGCAUUUAUACAAUCUGUACAAUAUGGUAUGUGGUAUUUCAUGAUUUUAGCUACAACUUAUUGAAUAUUAUAACAAUCUUACUAUGCGAGUAAGAUGUGGGUUUGAUGAACCAAUAAUAAAUAAAAAUUGUAUGCUGCAUUGUUCCUAAUUCACCAAACAAUUUUUUUUCAAAAACAGACACUCUGAUGUGUGGUUUUUGUCAACUAUUAUAUUAUGAAUGAAUGAAGCUCAGUAAAUGAAAAAUUGGAACUACAUACUUGCUUAGGGUGCCUAUCAUUCAUUGUUAAAAAACCUUUAGCUAUAUAAAAUUUCAAUACUGUAUGUACUAUUGUGAUAUAGUGGAAUUUUGAUAAAAUGUAUAUUAAU
rnacentral:lncRNA from 1 species